rnacentral:rRNA from 1 species
UACGAAGGGUGCAAGCGUUACUCGGAAUUACUGGGCGUAAAGCGUGCGUAGGUGGUUUGUUAAGUCUGUUGUGAAAGCCCCGGGCUCAACCUGGGAAUGGCAAUGGAUACUGGCAAGCUAGAGUGCGGUAGAGGGUAGUGGAAUUCCCGGUGUAGCGGUGAAAUGCGUAGAGAUCGGGAGGAACACCAGUGGCGAAGGCGGCGAUCUGGGUCGAUACUGACGCUGAGGUGCGAAAGCGUGGGGAGCAAACAGG